UACGUAGGUCCCGAGUGUUGACCGGAUUUAUUGGGCGUAAAGCGAGCGCAGGUGGUUUAUUAAGUCUGGUGUAAAAGGCAGUGGCUCAACCAUUGUAUGCAUUGGAAACUGGUAGACUUGAGUGCAGGAGAGGAGAGUGGAAUUCCAUGUGUAGCGGUGAAAUGCGUAGAUAUAUGGAGGAACACCGGUGGCGAAAGCGGCUCUCUGGCCUGUAACUGACACUGAGGCUCGAAAGCGUGGGGAGCAAACAGG
rnacentral:rRNA from 1 species